rnacentral:rRNA from 1 species
GUGCCAGCAGCCGCGGUAAGACGUAGGAUGCAAGCGUUGUCCGGAUUUAUUGGGCGUAAAGAGUUCGUAGGUGGUUUGUUAAGUCUGGUGUUAAAGACCGGGGCUCAACUUCGGGAGUGCAUUGGAUACUGGCAGACUAGAGUGCGGUAGAGGCGAGUGGAAUUCCCAGUGUAGCGGUGAAAUGCGUAGAUAUUGGGAAGAACACCAGUGGCGUAGGCGACUCGCUGGGCUGUAACUGACACUGAGGAACGAAAGCCAGGGGAGCGAAUGGGAUUAGAUACCCCCGUAGUCC